GGAAAUAAGCACAUAGUGAAAGUGAGCUGAAAUGCCACAUUUCUGCUCUAUAAGUAUGUCAUUUGUAGUUUUCUUAAUGAAAUAACAUCUAAACAAAUUUUAUACAAAUUAAAUUGUUUACAUGUAUUUGCAUUGUCCUUUGCCUGAAGGAUUAUAGGUUAUAUAUUGCAGGAGUACUUCAGCAAUAUCUGGGCUUCAAAGAGAGAGGAGGCCCUGACCCCAAGGUAGUGUCCAUCAAUGAAGACCACCGGCAGAGAGGGAACUUGACCCGGUGGUUCUGGAAGAUCUUGCGCACCAGCUCGCAGCGCUCGAACGUGGUUCGCACCACACGGAAACUGGUGGUGUAGAUCGCGAUCCGCCCAAACUCGAGCCUCACUGUUGGCUGGGGAAACACAAAGAGCAUGUUGCCAGGUUACCAUGGCUCAUAUUCAAAGGCAGUGGCCCAUACAAGCUAUUUGUACUCAGUGCUAUGAUUGUUUCAUCACAUAAAUAGCGCUAAUGGUAAAAGGGUAUUAAUGGCAGACCUGCUGAUUUGGCUCCAAUCUUUCAUCAGUUUGUUUUUCUGUGUUGUGCCCCAUAUUAUAGGUGUAUAUUGGUAAUAUGGUAAUAUUGGUAAUAACUGCUCCCUCCAUAAUCUGUCUGACUCCUCCCAUACUGUUUUGGUUUUGCUGUUUUUUUUUCACAUAAUACUGCCAGACAUGCACUGUUACUGCUCCCAGACACUUUAUACCAUCUUUACCGUCAUAUACUGUCCCAUACUAUCAUAUACUGUCAUAUACUACCAUAUACUGUCUUAUGCUGUUUAUGCUAUGCAUUUUACACUGUUGCUAAAUUACUAUUUUUCAGUACUAUGUUGGUUUUGGUGUUGAUUUUUAUUUACUACUUUACUGUUAUUUUAUCUUACUUUUCUAUUUUUAUUUUAUCUUUUAUUGUCAUUGAGUAUGGAAGUUGCUAACUCAACUAAAUUGUACUUGGGCGGUGACAAUUGUAUGUGUGCAAUGACAAUAAAAAUAUUCAUUCAUUCCUUAA